rnacentral:rRNA from 1 species
GACUCUCGGCAACGGAUAUCUCGGCUCACGCAUCGAUGAAGAACGUAGCAAAAUGCGAUACUUGGUGUGAAUUGCAGAAUCCCGUGAACCAUCGAGUUUUUGAACGCAAGUUGCGCCCGAUGCCAUUUGGUUGAGGGCACGUCUGCCUGGGCGUCACAC